ensembl:snRNA U6 U6 spliceosomal RNA
GUGCUCAUUCUGGCAGCCUAUAUACUAAAAUUGAAACGAUACAGAGAAGAUUAGCACAACCUCUGUGCAAGAAUGACAUGCAAAUUUGUAAACAUUCCAUGUUUUU